UACGUAGGGUGCAAGCGUUGUCCGGAUUUAUUGGGUUUAAAGGGAGCGUAGGCGGCCAAAUAAGUCAGUGGUGAAAGAAAUGGGCUUAACCCAUGAGCUGCCAUUGAUACUGUUUGGCUUGAGUACUGAUGAGGUAGGCGGAAUUGACAGUGUAGCGGUGAAAUGCUUAGAUAUUGUCAAGAACACCGAUUGCGAAGGCAGCUUACUAAGGAGUUACUGACGCUGAGGCUCGAAAGCGUGGGGAUCGAACAGG
rnacentral:rRNA from 1 species